rnacentral:misc_RNA from 1 species
AGACUCUUUCAUCAUCUUAUCAUAGUCAGCUUCAAGCUUGAUCAAUGGUGCAAAUAUGUUUUGAUACUGAUAGGCAUCUUCAUACUUCAAGGCAACAGGCUGAGGCUCAUCAUCCACACCAGGCUUCUCAAGAUCUUCCAGGGUAGCAUCAGGAUUUGUCUUCCACAAUUCUUCUACUUUGUUGAUUUGUUGAGCACUGAUCUGGCGCGCUCUCAACUGUUCUUGCUCGGAAGGGACCUUAACAAGCCACUGUAAAAAGCACCUGUCAUCAAUGAGUGGGCACCACUGACUGAGGUCCCA